AUCAGUUCAUUAUUUUUUUUUUCUUCUCAAGAGUGACAACACCAAACUCUAAAAUACAGCCAAACAUCUGAUUUCCAGCACCCAAGAUGCCACAGAUAAGCAGAAUUACUGUCAUUUGCUAGCAGGGUGAGUCUGCAUCCUCCAUUACAGCUGACCAGCCAUGCGGGAAAUUGGAAAAGUUAAUCUACCAGCGUACUGCUUACAGACGACCCACGGAGAACUGUGAAUAAUAUUGAGACCUGUCAAAUUUGAUCAUUUUCUUUUUAUAUGAAGCGCUGACAUUUUAUUGCCAAGCUUCUGUCUGGAUAAUCAGGCAAUCAUGCAGACAGUGGGAGGAUUCUGUUUACAAGCUACAUCAAAUACAGACAAGAUCUAAUGCUUUUGGGAUGCGAGGUGGCAGAAUAGAUGUUUAUCAACCUGUCUCAUCUGGUCUUGGAUAAAACAAAUCAAAUCACUCAUUCUGGAGCAUGUUCUGAUACUACAUGAGUGUAUGCAGCACACUUCAUCACUUACCGGAGCACCAUGGGCUGCAGGGCCUGCGAGGCCAACCGCUCGAACAUUCUCUGCAGUGGUGGGUGGAGCGGGUGGUCCUCGUCCCCCAUGGCACAGCUGCAGCGCUGCAGCAGCCGUGAGUGCAGGCCAGCCUCACAGAGGAUCUGCUGAUUCCGCUCAGAGUGAACCAGCACCUGCAGGAUGUUUGCCACCGCUAGCUGCAGGUCCAGUGCAUGCUGAGGAGAAAGAAGGGAAGAGGAAGUUGCUGUUUUGGAGAUAAGUGGUAAAGACUGGUACCUCAGGUUGGGCGUCUGAGCUGACGGAGGCUAGCAGAUCCAACAUGGCCAGUACAGCUCCUGGAUGAAUGACUACAGGGUCUGAGGGGUGCUGAGAGGGGUUCCCCAGGUAGAGCUUCAAGUCUGUAAUGGCUUUGACUGGAGCCGUGGAGUUGGAGGAGGAACUGUGGUAGCCGUGUCUGUUCAGCAGGAGACAGGAGGUCAGCAUAAAAGUCUACAAGUAGCAUUAUGCCAUAUAAAUACAGAGACAUUUUAUAAUAAAUUCUACACAAUUUUCUUUACA
rnacentral:lncRNA from 1 species